AAACACCCCGGUUCCUGUACGAUCACCGAAGUUAAGCAACGUCUAGCCUGGUCAGUACCUAGAUGGGUGACCGCUUGGGAAUAUCAUGUGCUGUAC
rnacentral:rRNA from 1 species